rnacentral:rRNA from 1 species
AUUGAACGCUGGCGGCAGGCCUAACACAUACAAGUCGAGCGGAUGACGUGAGCUUGCUCCUUGAUUCAGCGGCGGACGGGUGAGUAAUGCCUAGGAAUCUGCCUGGUAGUGGGGGGCAACGUUUCGAAAGGAACGCUAAUACCGCCUCCGUCCUACGGGAGAAUGCAGGGGACGUUCGGGCCUUGCGCUAUCAGAUGAGCCUAGGGCGGAUUAGCUAGUUGGUGGGGUAAUGGCUCACCAAGGCGACGAUCCGUAACUGGUCUGAGAGGAUGAUCAGUCACACUGGAACUGAGACACGGUCCAGACUCCUACGGGAGGCAGCAGUGGGGAAUAUUGGACAAUGGGCGAAAGCCUGAUCCAGCCAUGCCGCGUGUGUGAAGAAGGUCUUCGGAUUGUAAAGCACUUUAAGUUGGGAGGAAGGGCAGUAAGCUAAUACCUUGCUGUUUUGACGUUACCGACAGAAUAAGCACCGGCUAACUCUGUGCCAGCAGCCGCGGUAA